rnacentral:sRNA from 1 species
AGGGCCCAGUCCUAUGCGGAGAGACUACGUCUGGGUUUGGCCGUCAUCCACGGGGAAGCUCAGUGCACGGAACUGGACAUGGACGAUGGUCGUCACUCCCCGCCUAUGGUCAAAAACGCUACUGUGCACCCAGGCCUGGAGUUGCCAUUGAUGAUGGCCAAAGAGAAGCCACCGAUAACUGUAGUUGGAGAUGUUGGAGGCCGCAUCGCAAUCAUCGUGGAUGACAUUAUUGACGAUGUGGAGAGUUUUGUUGCUGCCGCGGAGAUCCUGAAAGAGAGAGGCGCCUAUAAGAUCUAUGUUAUGGCCACCCACGGCAUCCUGUCUGCAGAGGCCCCCCGCCUGAUUGAGGAGUCCUCCGUAGACGAGGUCAGGCUGCUUCUAAAUCUUGAGCCAAGAUUUACUGCUGUGUUUUCUGGGAAUAAUAAAAUGAUUCAGUCAGUACU